rnacentral:rRNA from 1 species
UGAACGCUAGCUACAGGCUUAACACAUGCAAGUCGAGGGGCAUCAGGAAGAAAGCUUGCUUUCUUUGCUGGCGACCGGCGCACGGGUGAGUAACACGUAUCCAACCUGCCCUUUACUCGGGGAUAGCCUUUCGAAAGAAAGAUUAAUACCCGAUGGCAUAAUGAUUCCGCAUGGUUUCAUUAUUAAAGGAUUCCGGUAAAGGAUGGGGAUGCGUUCCAUUAGGUUGUUGGUGAGGUAACGGCUCACCAAGCCUUCGAUGGAUAGGGGUUCUGAGAGGAAGGUCCCCCACAUUGGAACUGAGACACGGUCCAAACUCCUACGGGAGGCAGCAGUGAGGAAUAUUGGUCAAUGGGCGCUAGCCUGAACCAGCCAAGUAGCGUGAAGGAUGAAGGCUCUAUGGGUCGUAAACUUCUUUUAUAUAAGAAUAAAGUGCAGUAUGUAUACUGUUUUGUAUGUAUUAUAUGAAUAAGGAUCGGCUAACUCCGUGCCAGCAGCCGCGGUAAUACGGAGGAUCCGAGCGUUAUCCGGAUUUAUUGGGUUUAAAGGGAGCGUAGGUGGACUGGUAAGUCAGCUGUGAAAGUUUGCGGCUCAACCGUAAAAUUGCAGUUGAUACCUGUCAGUCUUGAGUACAGUAAAGGUGGGCGGAAUUCGUGGUGUAGCGGUGAAAUGCUUAAAUAUCACGAAAAACUCCGAUUGCGAAGGGCAGCUCACCUGGACUGCAACUGACACUGAUGCUCGAAAGUGUGGGUAUCAAACAGGAUUAGAUACCCUGGUAGUCCACACAGUAAACGAUGAAUACUCGCUGUUUGCGAUAUACAGUAAGCGGCCAAGCGAAAGCAUUAAGUAUUCCACCUGGGGAGUACGCCGGCAACGGUGAAACUCAAAGGAAUUGACGGGGGCCCGCACAAGCGGAGGAACAUGUGGUUUAAUUCGAUGAUACGCGAGGAACCUUACCCGGGCUUAAAUUGCAGUGGAAUGAUGUGGAAACAUGUCAGUGAGCAAUCACCGCUGUGAAGGUGCUGCAUGGUUGUCGUCAGCUCGUGCCGUGAGGUGUCGGCUUAAGUGCCAUAACGAGCGCAACCCUUAUCUUUAGUUACUAACAGGUUAUGCUGAGGACUCUAGAGAGACUGCCGUCGUAAGAUGUGAGGAAGGUGGGGAUGACGUCAAAUCAGCACGGCCCUUACGUCCGGGGCUACACACGUGUUACAAUGGGGGGUACAGAAGGCAGCUAGCGGGUGACCGUAUGCUAAUCCCAAAAGCCUCUCUCAGUUCGGAUCGAAGUCUGCAACCCGACUUCGUGAAGCUGGAUUCGCUAGUAAUCGCGCAUCAGCCACGGCGCGGUGAAUACGUUCCCGGGCCUUGUACACACCGCCCGUCAAGCCAUGGGAGCCGGGGGUACCUGAAGUACGUAACCGCAAGGAUCGUCCUAGGGUAAAACUGGUGACUGGGG